rnacentral:tRNA from 1 species
AAUGAAGAUUUAAAUCCUUCUAUUUACCA